AUUUUUAAUUGUGACAGAUAUACAUAUGUGUUACGAAAACUACGACGGAAGCAAAAAAGUAAAUGUUCUUUCUAGAUAAUUUAUCUCUGAUAUGGGAUUUGUUAAACGCAUAUGUAUAAAAAAACCUAUUAGGUGUAAGAUAUGGGUGUAGCGGUUUAACGAUAUCCGUAGAGAGCCAAGUUGAUGAAAUUCCACUGAUACCUGAGCUCAGCGUAUCCUUUUUUGGAUCCUAGCAGAAUGUUUGCCGAGAUUUAUAAUUCAAUAUCCUUUUUUUAUAUUUGAUUCAAUAUUUUUACGUAUGAGAAUAACAAAAGAAACCCAAACGGUUAAAAACAUUAAAUUUCGUUAUUCCAAUAAUAAAAUUAAUUUUUUGUCUGAAUUUUUGCUAUUUAUCCGAUUAAUAUCAUUGUACUUUACUCUACUAUAUCUAUAAGCCUUGUUCUCUUACUGUACGUAACUAUGCCGUAAAUAGAAUAUAAAUCUACUAUUAAAAAAAAUGUCACAGAUGUGGACAGAUCUUUACUUACAGACCGGGGUAGUUACCGCAGGAGGUUGAAUCAGCUAAAUACAGGACGAUAAUAACGUGUUCAAAUAAACGAUGCCGUACCCUACUUCGUGGCUCGUCGAUAAAUAGUGCCUUGCCCGUGACUGGUAUCGUAUGCAUUGUUAAUGACCAUGGCCUAUGGUGACCAUUCACCAUUAAUGGGUUUAGCGGGUAAUCUCCAUCUAACAUAAAAAAAAAGGUAAACUGGUAUCACUCAAGAAUUUUAUGUUAAUACAUUAUACAUAAUUGUUAUUAUACAUAAAGUAUAUUUCAAUGAAACGUCUUCUUCAUUAAGAUUGAGUUUUCAAUGACCUUCUACGUAAAUCGAAGGUAGUUAGCAAACUAAACACGAAAUAAUCAGAAACUUGCAACUUCGUCCGUGGUGUUUAAUACUUAUCUGUGAACAACUAAGAACCUGCAAGUUUGUAAGCCGUAACAAAACUUUAAGUACAGUUUUCCUUAGUUGCUCUAAGUAAUUAUUUAUUGUGAAUGUACCUGUAAAUGUGCCGUAAAUAGAUAUAAAUUGCUGUCUACUAAUAAUGCUUUGAAAACAUAUUAAAAUGCUUCUUUUCUUUCUGUGAAA